CACUGCCGAGAAAAGCCUCUAGAUAGAAAAUAGGUGCCCGUACCGCAAACCGACACAGGUAGUCAAGAUGAGAAUUCUAAGGUGAGCGAGCGAACUCUCGUUAAGGAACUCGGCAAAAUGACCCCGUAACUUCGGGAGAAGGGGUGCUCUUUAGGGUUAACGCCCAGAAGAGCCGCAGUGAAUAGGCCCAAGCGACUGUUUAUCAAAAACACAGGUCUCUGCUAAACCGUAAGGUGAUGUAUAGGGGCUGACGCCUGCCCGGUGCUGGAAGGUUAAGAGGAGUGGUUAGCUUCUGCGAAGCUACGAAUCGAAGCCCCAGUAAACGGCGGCCGUAACUAUAACGGUCCUAAGGUAGCGAAAUUCCUUGUCGGGUAAGUUCCGACCCGCACGAAAGGCGUAACGAUUUGGGCACUGUCUCAACGAGAGACUCGGUGAAAUCAUAGUACCUGUGAAGAUGCAGGUUACCCGCGACAGGACGGAAAGACCCCGUGGAGCUUUACUGUAGCCUGAUAUUGAAAUUCGGCACAGCUUGUACAGGAUAGGUA
rnacentral:rRNA from 1 species